rnacentral:rRNA from 1 species
GACGAACGCUGGCGGCGCGCUUAACACAUGCAAGUCGAACGGAAAGGCCUGCUUUCCCUUGUGGAUUGCGGGUACUCGAGUGGCGAACGGGUGAGUAACACGUGAGUGAUCUGCCCCCAACUUGGGUAUAAGCCUGGGAAACUGGGUCUAAUUCCCGAUAGGACUGCAGGGUGGUGCCUGUGGUGGAAAAUGAUUUUCUAGUGGUUGGGGAUGAGCUCGCGGCCUAUCAGCUUGUUGGUGGGGUAAUGGCCUACCAAGGCGGCGACGGGUAGCCGGCCUGAGAGGGUGGACGGCCACAUUGGGACUGAGAUACGGCCCAGACUCCUACGGGAGGCAGCAGUGGGGAAUAUUGCACAAUGGGCGGAAGCCUGAUGCAGCGACGCCGCGUGGGGGAUGACGGCCUUCGGGUUGUAAACUCCUUUCGACCGCGAGGAAGCCACCUGGUUGGAAGGGUGGUGACGGUAGUGGUAGAAGAAGCACCGGCUAACUACGUG